UAGUCAUAUGCUUGUCUCAAGGAUUAAGCCAUGCAUGUCUAAGUAUAAGCAAUUUAUACAGUGAAACUGCGAAUGGCUCAUUAAAUCAGUUAUCGUUUAUUUGAUAGUACCUUUACUACUUGGAUAACCGUGGUAAUUCUAGAGCGAAUACAUGCUAAAAAUCCCGACUGUUUGGAAGGGAUGUAUUUAUUAGAUAAAAAAUCAAUGCUUUUCGGAGCUCUUUGAUGAUUCAUAAUAACUUUUCGAAUCGCAUGGCCUUGUGCUGGCGAUGGUCCAUUCAAACUUCUGCCCUAUCAACUUUCGAUGGUAGGAUAGUGGCCUACCAUGGUUUCAACGGGUAACGGGGAAUAAGGGUUCGAUUCCGGAGAGGGAGCCUGAGAAACGGCUACCACAUCCAAGGAAGGCAGCAGGCGCGCAAAUUACCCAAUCCCGACACGGGGAGGUAGUGACAAUAAAUAACGAUACAGGGCCCUUUCGGGUCUUGUAAUUGGAAUGAGUACAAUGUAAAUACCUUAACGAGGAACAAUU
rnacentral:rRNA from 1 species